rnacentral:rRNA from 1 species
AUACAUGCAAGUCGAGCGGACAGAAGGGAGCUUGCUCCCGGAUGUUAGCGGCGGACGGGUGAGUAACACGUGGGUAACCUGCCUGUAAGACUGGGAUAACUCCGGGAAACCGGAGCUAAUACCGGAUAGUUCCUUGAACCGCAUGGUUCAAGGAUGAAAGACGGUUUCGGCUGUCACUUACAGAUGGACCCGCGGCGCAUUAGCUAGUUGGUGAGGUAACGGCUCACCAAGGCGACGAUGCGUAGCCGACCUGAGAGGGUGAUCGGCCACACUGGGACUGAGACACGGCCCAGACUCCUACGGGAGGCAGCAGUAGGGAAUCUUCCGCAAUGGACGAAAGUCUGACGGAGCAACGCCGCGUGAGUGAUGAAGGUUUUCGGAUCGUAAAGCUCUGUUGUUAGGGAAGAACAAGUGCAAGAGUAACUGCUUGCACCUUGACGGUACCUAACCAGAAAGCCACGGCUAACUACGUGCCAGCAGCCGCGGUAAUACGUAGGUGGCAAGCGUUGUCCGGAAUUAUUGGGCGUAAAGGGCUCGCAGGCGGUUUCUUAAGUCUGAUGUGAAAGCCCCCGGCUCAACCGGGGAGGGUCAUUGGAAACUGGGAAACUUGAGUGCAGAAGAGGAGAGUGGAAUUCCACGUGUAGCGGUGAAAUGCGUAGAGAUGUGGAGGAACACCAGUGGCGAAGGCGACUCUCUGGUCUGUAACUGACGCUGAGGAGCGAAAGCGUGGGGAGCGAACAGGAUUAGAUACCCUGGUAGUCCACGCCGUAAACGAUGAGUGCUAAGUGUUAGGGGGUUUCCGCCCCUUAGUGCUGCAGCUAACGCAUUAAGCACUCCGCCUGGGGAGUACGGUCGCAAGACUGAAACUCAAAGGAAUUGACGGGGGCCCGCACAAGCGGUGGAGCAUGUGGUUUAAUUCGAAGCAACGCGAAGAACCUUACCAGGUCUUGACAUCCUCUGACAACCCUAGAGAUAGGGCUUUCCCUUCGGGGACAGAGUGACAGGUGGUGCAUGGUUGUCGUCAGCUCGUGUCGUGAGAUGUUGGGUUAAGUCCCGCAACGAGCGCAACCCUUGAUCUUAGUUGCCAGCAUUCAGUUGGGCACUCUAAGGUGACUGCCGGUGACAAACCGGAGGAAGGUGGGGAUGACGUCAAAUCAUCAUGCCCCUUAUGACCUGGGCUACACACGUGCUACAAUGGACAGAACAAAGGGCUGCGAGACCGCAAGGUUUAGCCAAUCCCACAAAUCUGUUCUCAGUUCGGAUCGCAGUCUGCAACUCGACUGCGUGAAGCUGGAAUCGCUAGUAAUCGCGGAUCAGCA